CCUACGGGAGGCAGCAGUGGGGAAUAUUGGGCAAUGGGCGCAAGCCUGACCCAGCAACGCCGCGUGAAGGAAGAAGGCUUUCGGGUUGUAAACUUCUUUUCUGAGGGACGAAGAAAGUGACGGUACCUCAGGAAUAAGCCACGGCUAACUACGUGCCAGCAGCCGCGGUAAUACGUAGGUGGCGAGCGUUAUCCGGAAUGAUUGGGCGUAAAGGGUGCGUAGGCGGCCUGCUAAGUCUGGAGUGAAAGGUACCGGCUCAACCGGUACAGGCUCUGGAAACUGGCGGGCUAGAGAGCAGGAGAGGGCGGUGGAACUCCAUGUGUAGCGGUAAAAUGCGUAGAUAUAUGGAAGAACACCAGUGGCGAAGGCGGCCGCCUGGCCUGUUACUGACGCUGAGGCACGAAAGCGUGGGGAGCAAAUAGGAUUAGAUACCCCAGUAGUC
rnacentral:rRNA from 1 species